GAUGAAGAACGUAGCGAAAUGCGAUAAGUAGUGUGAAUUGCAGAAUUCAGUGAAUCAUCGAAUCUUUGAACGCACAUUGCGCCCCCUGGUAUUCCGGGGGGCAUGCCUGUCCGAGCGUCAUUACAACCCUCAAGCUCAGCUUGGUGUUGGGCCCCGCCGCCCCGGCGGGCCCUAAAGUCAGUGGCGGUGCCGUCCGGCUCCGAGCGUAGUAAUUCUUCUCGCUCUGGAGGUCCGGUCGUGUGCUCGCCAGCACCCCCCAAUUUUUUUCAGGUUGACCUCGGAUCAGGUAGGGAUACCCGCUGAACUUAAGCAUAUCAAUAAGCGGAGGA
rnacentral:misc_RNA from 1 species